UCAGUAAAACAAAAUUAGUUUAGGUUGCCUACUUGCAAGUAAAUUAAUAUGUAUUUGUCAAUGAUGUCUGAAUAUUUAAUGAGGUAUCCAAACCUUUCAUGUGAUUGUAACAAAUAGUCGACUCAGUUUAAAUCCAGUUGUUCUUGGAAGGCUUUGUAGGAUGGUUUGAGACUAUUAAUGGAAGAAAAAAAUGAGAGAUCAAGUAUAGAGUUUUGGAGAAGUUUAAGUGAGGUUGUUCAAUCCAUUCUUCAAAAUAAGAAAAGGACAGUGGCACAACUGCAAACCAACACAAUGGAGCUGCAUUAAUUGUGGUGGAAUCGUGCCUUUCUUCAGCGGGGAGCUAAAUCCUGGAAGAAACUAUGUUUGAUGCUUUCAAAUUAAAAUUGAUUUUAAUCCAAAGAAACACCAACAAAAUCCAUUGAAGUUUGUGAUUGUAGUGUGAUAAAAUGUGAAAAAUAUCAGGGGAUAUUAAUAGUUUUGCAAAACACACUGACAAAAUUAAAGCCAUACAUCCCAAAUGUGUUACCACAACUGACAUAAAUGAAAACUGAAGGUGUGAAAAAUAGAAGUUUAUGUCACACAUAAGAAAAACCAGCCAAUAGACUGAUGCUCUAUCAGCCACGCAAAGCAUCGGUGUCUUAACAUCGUCAAAAAUCGUCUUGGUUCUCGCUUUAAAGUUUGCGGCUUGAAAACAGGCCUUUGUUAUGCAACUGCUGCUCUGGUAGUAGUCCAUCUGGGAGUUCUGUCCUGGCACGUACAAACAUGUGUGAUAGCGUGUCGGUGUGUAGGCGGGAGAACAAGAUGGAAAGAGUCAAAAGAUUGUGUGUAGCCCUUUGUAUUCGGCGUCAGUUAAAUUCACGUGCGAUUUAAGGUUUGCCGUUUACGGUUCUCCACCUGAUGGCUUCGGAGGUUGUGCAUCAGCCGUCAUGGCUGCCAAUAUGUUCAUAUUCCUCACUACGUGCGGGGGUUUGUGUAUGUCUGCGCGUGGGGGCCGCAGCAAGCUGUGUCAACACCACCUGAGCGCCAUGGCAACAACACACUGCUAUAUGGAGAAAGGAACAGAGCUCUCCGCCUCCACCGGGGUUUUACAGCUGGUUUUGGACAAAAAAAAAGGUCUGGAAAUCACUUUGAAGUUGGGUCCAGCAGUGCAGGAGAAAAAUGCCUUUGAUGUGGGUAACCAGAAAGUGUCUUAUAAAUGCUGCAGGUGUUACAAUAGGUGAACAAUGCAAAAUCCUGCUAAUUCAUCGCAAACCCAAUACUGCAUAGAUCAUGCUUCCAGACGCACAACCCCUGAUGCAGCUUUUUUCAUAUAUAUAUAUAUUUUUUUUCUUUACAUUUAUUUCCAGUAGAAAUAUUGCUCAAAGCGUUUUUGACAAGGAUAAGAACAUACCCGACGUUGCUAUUUCAACCAACUGCUGAACAUCUGGCUCCGACUGUCUGUGACUUUAUUGGUGUGCUUAUGGGAUCUCCGUGUUAGGUUCUCUAGCCAUCCAAGGAUGACUUAUCUGAAGGGGGAAUGUCUAACAUUUUACUACCUGCACACAUGCAACAUUUGAGCGUUAGUUACACGGUGCCGCAACAGAGAAACCACGUGCCUGGGCCCAAAAACGGUUGUACAGGACUCCCUGUACUUUAUAAUGGAAGUAUAAUGCAGGUUAUUAAGGAAUUCCACCAUGACAAAAGGUACUCUAUAAAGAAUAUUUAUGAAAACUAUUACUCAUUAAAGAAUUCCAAAUUGAUGAAGCAGAAUUUUCCUUACCUGUCCAGGGUGAAUCCCAGCUCUUAUCCAUUGACCCUGCAAGGAUGAAGGAAUAACAAAAAAACUCAAUGGAUCUUCCUGCAGAUUCAAACAAGGAAUUGGUGAGGCACCAUUCCUACUUUUGCAGUUUGAGCAGCAAGGGGACUUUAAAGCAUUAAAACCAUCUUAGUACAAUACAAGAAUAUGUUGAGGUAAAACAUCAAUUGGCUAGGCAUUUGAUGUUCUCCAGCCAUUUGCAAAACAGCUUUCUACCAAAGAUGAACUGUUUGGACAUAACACAGGGACUGAGGCAUGCAUCUGGACUCUAAAGCUCCCUGAUAAAUAAAAAAAAAGGGGAUCUCAUAGUGGUUUUAGGAAAGAAGCCCAAUCAACAUGGCUCAAAGGAUUUACUGCUAAGCAUCUUGGUCUGAGGCACUCCAGGAGAACCCCAGAUGUUUUUCCCCCCACAUACCAAAAGGACAGAGCUGUCUGGAAGUAAAAGAGGUACCUGCUCAGUUUUAAGCAUUUGUUUAUAAAUCUAGUGUUAAAAGGUGUGUUUGAAGGAUUGCCAAAGGGAGCCUGAGCUGACUAAUGGUAAAAAGGUGUAUCUUGGGUGUAGAUAGUCACGGUUUUUAAACCACAAAUAUUUCCUGUCAAAUUUUUUAAAUUUAAAAAAAAAACAGUUAAAAUUCCUUUUGAAAGGGUUCUUUUCAGAGAAAGUAGAGUAAUGUAACUCUGCCUCGCUUAUUUCAGCUUGUUGUCUCCGGCAUUUCUCCUUUUGGCCAUGAGCUAUAUCUGAUGACCACUGGAGUUUCAUUUUGAUUCUCCUCUUUCUUCACCGUGACAGACCAGAGCAGUGACCACGUUACUCCAGGCAAGGUCUCAACCCAUCUACCCACCAUUCUCUCUGGUAAACAAGACAAGUUAUUUGAACAUUUCCUCUUGCUUCACAGACUGACCCCUACCCUUAGGAAAGCAAUCAGCCUCUUUCCUGGUGGUCCAUUGCCACAUGCUGUUAGAGCAUCUGCAACAAGCUAAGGUGAGACCCUGAGGUUCCCAAACCCUCGUCACAAAUGCACCUUGAGAUGCGGUCCAUAAACACCACAAUCAGAUAUAGUCCACCUUGUACUGGGAACAAGUUCCACUUUACGCCAGGAAAGCAGACACAGCACUUCCUUUGACAAGUACCAAUUAUCCCUUAAAAACAACCCAGGAAAGAUGCAGAGUCCCCCACAAACCACCUUGACUGGACUGUUGUAAUCUUUCUGCAGAUGUGGACAAUGCAACCAAAAGUACCAUGAACAACUCAGCAAUUCCAUAAGUGUAAAGAUCUGGUUCACUGUUCCAGCGCCAGUUUAGAUAGUUAUUUCAUUAAUGCAGUAAUAGCUAGAGCAAAAGCAGAUAAAAUGUCUCAAUGUUUUCAUUUUUAUUUGCAUCUCAACAGACAAAGGACUUAAACCUACAGCACUGAGAUCAAAGUCUCCUAUCCGUCUCCUCUCAUUCCUGAUGGCUGCAAAAGAUCAGAGGCCAAUGAUUCAGUCGUGACGUAUUGCUGUACACGGAAAGCACACUGGGCCUAAUCUCAUCGCCCUGUUAUGCUCAGCACAUGUGCCCACCUGCACAUGCAGAGACAAUUCUAGACCUGGACCCUGGCUUCAGGAUCAAACAGAUCGUUGUAAGGGCAGUCUCUGUUCAACACUGAGAAUAGGAAGGAAUACCCCUCUGAAAACGGUCCAGCCACAGUGGAUUGUACAAAAGAAAGUAAAACAAUACAAUUUUCACUCUAUUGAAGCAUAUAAGAACAUUACAAACAGAAAGAUUGUUUUCAUUCUCAGCGCAAUGAAACAAGGCAACAAAACACACUGAAUAAUUAAAAAAGCUGGGAUUG